rnacentral:lncRNA from 1 species
GGAAUCUCUGCAAGAGCUUUAUGACUUGUGGUUUAAGAAGACUUUGGGAACUGUCUUCACCCUUUGAGCUUUCCCUCCACUCCAAGAGUGAAGCCCAUGACUUUCAUCCACAGCAACUGCCACCCUGAACUGCUGCUGCCAGCAGAGGGUUGAACUCUGUAAGGUUGAACUGCAGGUUCCAGCUGCCCUUCCCCUGAAGACAGUCCAGGUUCCGAUGGGAGGUGAUGAUCUCUCCAACUUACCCAAAGAAACAAAAGUAUGUUGCAGCUGUCUCGGGUUAUUUAUCUGAUUUGAGAAGCUUACUUCCCUCCACUCAGAUGCCUCUAUUCUAUUACAGUGAGAUUCUUCCUUUAUAAGGAGUACAUUGGCACCUUCUCACCAAUUACACUGAAAGAGGAAGAAUAUUUGAAAUGAAAAGUGAUAAUUAUUGAACUCUACUUCUCAUGUCCUGAGCUAUGUUCAGCAUGGUCUGUUGGGUUAAAGACCACCAGUCAGGUUACACACGAAUCAGGGAUGUGGAAUCGUCAUGAGCAUGGAACCUGGUG